rnacentral:rRNA from 1 species
UAAGGAAUAUUGGUCAAUGGACGCAAGUCUGAACCAGCCAUGCCGCGUGGAGGAUGAAGGUCCUCUGGAUUGUAAACUUCUUUUAUCUGGGACGAAACACUUCUUUUCUAAGAGGCCUGACGGUACCAGAUGAAUAAGCACCGGCUAACUCCGUGCCAGCAGCCGCGGUAAUACGGAGGGUGCAAGCGUUAUCCGGAUUCACUGGGUUUAAAGGGUGCGUAGGUGGGUAUGUAAGUCAGAGGUGAAAUCCCCGAGCUUAACUUGGGAACUGCCUUUGAUACUAUAUAUCUUGAAUGCCGUAGAGGUUAGCGGAAUAUGUCAUGUAGCGGUGAAAUGCUUAGAUAUGACAUGGAACACCAAUUGCGAAGGCAGCUUACUAUGCGGUUAUUGACACUGAGGCACGAAAGCGUGGGUAGCAAACA